CUCUGUGCCUGCUUCGUGUAGGGGACAAAAAGUACUGAUGCUGCCAGCUGCUGUCUCAUGCAAUCCCUGGAAGGCAGAUGGCUUUCUGUGGGUGAAUCAAGUGAGGCCAUCAACUCCUUCUUCCACAAUGCAGCCUCUUGCUUACAAAUCCUCACUAAAGAUUUGUCACGGUGUGCAGCUGAGCCAAGCUGCUGCAUUGCUGACAGGCUCUGCAAUGUGUUGCUGGCUGAAGUUAAAGCCAUGUAAAGCACCAAGGGUGGGGGGCACGAGAACUGUCUGUGAUGUUUGCUUUUUGUUUCUUGUGGUUGUCAUCUGCUAAUUCAUUGGUGUGGGGCGGAUUCUCUGCGUGUGUUUGCAGAGCAUUGAACAGAGCACAGCUCCAGUCCUCCUUGGGGCUGCAAAAUGAAGAUGAUGUUGAUUCCUGGUUUCAUUUACAGGUGAGUAAAAUGCAGAACUUGGAACACUUGACACGUCUUAAGAAGCUAGGCCACUGUUAUUGCUUUCAGAG
rnacentral:lncRNA from 1 species